rnacentral:rRNA from 1 species
AGUGAACGCUGGCGGUAGGCCUAACACAUGCAAGUCGAACGGCAGCACAGUAAGAGCUUGCUCUUACGGGUGGCGAGUGGCGGACGGGUGAGGAAUACAUCGGAAUCUACUUUUUCGUGGGGGAUAACGUAGGGAAACUUACGCUAAUACCGCAUACGACCUACGGGUGAAAGCAGGGGAUCUUCGGACCUUGCGCGAUUGAAUGAGCCGAUGUCGGAUUAGCUAGUUGGCGGGGUAAAGGCCCACCAAGGCGACGAUCCGUAGCUGGUCUGAGAGGAUGAUCAGCCACACUGGAACUGAGACACGGUCCAGACUCCUACGGGAGGCAGCAGUAGGGAAUAUUGGACAAUGGGCGCAAGCCUGAUCCAGCCAUACCGCGUGGGUGAAGAAGGCCUUCGGGUUGUAAAGCUCUUUUGUUGGGAAAGAAAAGCAGCAGGUUAAUAUCCCGCUGUUCUGACGGUACUCAAAGAAUAAGCACCGGCUAACUUCGUG